ACUUAUUUAAUAUAACUAAGUAUAUUUGACUUCCAAUCAAAAAGUUUGUAUUAACAAAAUAAGUA
rnacentral:tRNA from 1 species